GGAUGCGAUCAUACCAGCACUAAAGCACCGGAUCCCAUCAGAACUCCGAAGUUAACUGUGCUUGGGCGAGACUAGUACUAGGAUGGGUGACCUCCUAGGAAGUCCUCCUUUUGCAUGCC
rfam:Triticum aestivum genome assembly, contig: Triticum_aestivum_CS42_TGACv1_scaffold_424948_5BS